UACGUAGGGCCCGAGCGUUGUCCGGAUUUAUUGGGCGUAAAGAGCUCGUAGGCGGCUCAGUAAGUCAGAUGUGAAAACUCAGGGCUCAACCCGGAGACGCCAUCUGAUACUGCUGUGGCUUGAGUCUGGUAGGGGAUCACGGAAUUCCUGGUGUAGCGGUGAAAUGCGCAGAUAUCAGGAGGAACACCGAUGGCGAAGGCAGUGAUCUGGGCCAGUACUGACGCUGAGGAGCGAAAGCGUGGGUAGCAAACAGG
rnacentral:rRNA from 1 species